rnacentral:rRNA from 1 species
GCUUGCUUUCUUUGCUGGCGACCGGCGCACGGGUGAGUAACACGUACCCAACCUACCCUUUACUCGGGGAUAGCCUUUCGAAAGAAAGAUUAAUACCCGAUAGCAUAAUGAUUCCGCAUGGUUUCAUUAUUAAAGGAUUCCGGUAAAGGAUGGGGAUGCGUUCCAUUAGGUUGUUGGUGGAGUAACGGCCCACCAAGCCUUCGAUGGAUAGGGGUUCUGAGAGGAAGGUCCCCCACAUUGGAACUGAGACACGGUCCAAACUCCUACGGGAGGCAGCAUG